AGUAGGGUAGGGUGAGGGGUAGGGUUAGGAAUAGGGUUAGGGUUACCCUACCCCUAACCCUACUCCAACCACUAACCCUAACCCUACCCCGAC